AUGGCUCACAUUGGGAAGGAAAACCAGCAAGAAGCCGUGCCUCUCCCAGAGCGGGCAUCAAAGGAAAGUGCUGUGCUUGCAGCAAACGCCUUCAGCAGCAAGAUCCCUGUGCUGUCUAAAAGCAGACUCGCACCCAAACAGCAGACAUGUGUAUCCAGUGGGAAGAGCAAAGCGAUCAAGGACCCAAAGGUGCCUCACACCAGUUCAGCUCCUGCUGUUGGUGGACUGGAACCGGUGGCUGCUUCAUUGCCCAAGAGCCUUUCCAGAGAACCUCUGGGGGAAGUACAUCUCAGCACAUCUGGUCACAGGAAUGAGGGCAACAGGUCUGCUGCCAAAAGAGUGGGCAACAGUGGUGGAGAAGGAACGGACACAGAGGAGUUUGUGCCUGAUGUAGCAGCUCUUGCCAGCAUCUUGUCCAACACAGGGCUGAAAUGCCAGAUGAUGAAUUCAACCCACAAGCCCAGCUUGGCCCAAAGAGUCCCUUUGAGUGGAAACAGAGCAUGUUCAGCCAGCAUUGGGACUGCCCGAGGCUCUCUAUAUACAAAGGUUUCAGAAGGAAAUCCUGUUCGCUUUUCCUGUAUCUCCAGAUCAACUUCAAAAGAUACAGAUCUCUCAAAGUCCUGUGGCCUGUCCCUGAACAUUGAACAGCUUAAGACUUUGUCAUCUAGUCUCAAGAACUACGGUCCCAGGGGGGAAGUGACUCAAUCCAGGCAUCCGGCAGAGGACCAGAGAGUGACCAAGUUUGCAGAUCCAGCAGCCAAGCCCAUUGCAGAAUGUCUGAGCAGAGUGACCCCAACUGAUGUUCCAGUUCAAAGCAACUCUGCUGGGACAAAAGACGCCACAGGAUCAUCAUGGAAAGAUGAAGAGUUUGUACCAGACUCAGCUGCCAAAGCGAGUAUCCUCUCAAAUGAAGGUUUGAGUCGAUUUGCCAUAGGGGCCAAUGGCAAGCUGAGCAUGGCCCAGCGGGUGCUCGUGAAAUGUCCUCAGAAGACUCCUGUCACUUGUGGCAACACUAGGGGUGAAAGUGACUUUUUCUUAGAGCGCCGUACUAGAGCAUCUUCGAUUGGAAAGUUUGGUCGUGUGCCUUAUCGUUCUCCUCAGGGUCUUCAAGGUCUAAAGCAGUCAGCGGCUUCUGGAGCCCAGCCAACCAAUACACCUGGCAACAGAUUUACCUCUGUUGGCUGUUCAUCCUACACUCCAGCGAGGAGGGUUCCACAAUCCUUGUGUCGCACUCCUUGGACAUUUCGUCGUGGCCCUCUUUCCUUCUCCCAUAAGAACAUGAAGGUGGGUAUCCAACCUCCAGCAGAAAUGGAGCAGGGGAAGAUUGCUAUGCGCCUCUUUGAUGAUGAGGUGGAGGCAUCAGCAAAGAAGGUGCCUGCUGCUUCCAUGAUCACACCAGAAAUGGGGAAGCUCCAGGAACUUUUAAUGAGGAUCUUGUACCUGCUCAC
rnacentral:lncRNA from 1 species